UCGAGAAUCUUCCGCAAUGGACGAAAGUCUGACGGAGCGACGCCGCGUGCGGGAUGAAGGCCUUCGGGUUGUAAACCGCUGUCAGUUGGGAGGAAGUGCUAUAGGGUUCUCUCUAUAGCUUGACCGAUCUUCAGAGGAAGUACGGGCUAAGUACGUGCCAGCAGCCGCGGUAAUACGUACCGUACGAACGUUAUUCGGAAUCACUGGGCUUAAAGAGUCCGUAGGCGGCCUUAAAGGUGAGGUGUGAAAUCCACGGCUUAACCGUGGAACUGCGCUUCAAACCAUAAGGCUAGAGGGAGAUAGAGGAAAGCGGAACUGAUGGUGGAGCGGUGAAAUGCGUUGAUAUCAUCAGGAACACCGGUGGCGAAAGCGGCUUUCUGGGUCUCUUCUGACGCUGAGGGACGAAAGCUAGGGGAGCGAACGGGAUUAGAUACCCCGGUAGUCCGUAGCUGUAAACGAUGAGCACUAGUUCGAGGGGACCCCCACAUCCUCUUGGACGUAGCGAAAGUGUUAAG
rnacentral:rRNA from 1 species